UCAGGAGCACUAAGAUACAUCAAGUACUCUGUGUGGAAAUAGAAGCUUACAUGGACAGAUCUGAAAACAGAGUUACCUGCAAAUACUUCACAAAAGAGGACAUAAAAUGCUGAAAACAGGUUGAAAUGACCACCUAGAACACUGCUGCUUCUCUUUGUUUCCACAACUGAGUCCUGGACAAGCUGUGAUAAAAAGGAAACGAAAAUGGAAGUACAACUUAAGUACUUGAAACUAGGAUUUCCUUACAAAGACGAUUCAUUCAUCUGUGGAUCUCAUUGUGCUAUUAUAAAUCAAGCACAUUCUCACAAAACAAGAGCAAAAUAAUGUUUUACAUGAUGAAAUUAGUAACUGUAGAUGCCAAAGACAAAAAUAAGUGUAUUCAUACUGCUUCUCAGAGGUUUGUGAUAUCACUGAGAAAAUUAAUGGUAACUAUUAUGAACUUAAAAAAAUCAGGAAAAGCUAUUGGUAAAAUUUCAGCAUCAAUGAACAAUGUUCAACAUUGCAUAAUGUCAACGCGGAGAAGCUACACAAUGUUGAAAUGCAAUCCCUAUCUCUUGGAAGUCGUCACAGAUAUUUCAUCUGACACUUGAACAAACCACUGAUGUGUAUAGACUAUCCUUUUGAUACAUGUAUGGAAUAAACAUGUGAGAAAAGGACUUCCUAAUUUAACUACCAGUCAUUCCAUAAAAACAGGACUACUCAUUGCUGGAAAAAGAUGUGGUGGAUUCAACAGAUAUGUAAGCAGAAGUGAAAACUGGCACUAUGAGAAAGAAUUAAGUAAAACUUAAAUGGUAAUACACACAUUUUAUUCCCUUGAAAACAGCCAAGAAUCCAGCACAAUACCAACUGAUCGUGAUACAAUGUUGAAGGAAAUAAUAAAAACCAAGUAUAAUCAUUGUGUAUUUUCAAUAUACAGAGUGAAGGAAUGGCCAGUCAAUACAAGACUGUCUUUUUGCU